rnacentral:rRNA from 1 species
AGUGAACGCUGGCGGUAGGCCUAACACAUGCAAGUCGAACGGCAGCACAGUAAGAGCUUGCUCUUACGGGUGGCGAGUGGCGGACGGGUGAGGAAUACAUCGGAAUCUACUUUUUCGUGGGGGAUAACGUAGGGAAACUUACGCUAAUACCGCAUACGACCUACGGGUGAAAGCAGGGGAUCUUCGGACCUUGCGCGAUUGAAUGAGCCGAUGUCGGAUUAGCUAGUUGGCGGGGUAAAGGCCCACCAAGGCGACGAUCCGUAGCUGGUCUGAGAGGAUGACCAGCCACACUGGAACUGAGACACGGUCCAGACUCCUACGGGAGGCAGCAGUGGGGAAUAUUGGACAAAGGGCGCAAGCCUGAUCCAGCCAUACCGCGUGGGUGAAGAAGGCCUUCGGGUUGUAAAGCCCUUUUGUUGGGAAAGAAAAGCAGCAGGUUAAUACCCCACUGUUCUGACGGUACCCAAAGAAUAAGCACCGGCUAACUUCGUG